rnacentral:snoRNA from 1 species
GUGCACAUUUCAUCAUUUCAUUGUCUUUUUUCUUUAUGUCAAGGGAAAACAUUUUUCAUGUGCUAAAUUAACCUUUGGAGGUAAAUUCAGCAUGACUUAUUGCUGUCAGUCAUCAGAUAAUU